UUCCAUUCAUCCCAAUUUGGGGUUUUAGUUGAUGAUCAUAAUUGUUCAUAUGUUGCUUUCCUUUUAAUUUUCGAGGAACUCCUAUCAUCUUUAAGGAAAACAAAUAGGCGGCCUUGAGGCUGAUAUGAUGGCAUUGAAGGAACUUUAAAUCUUCAAGUUAUUCGGUCUUCAAUCUCGGGCUAACAUUGGUUGUUUCUCACAGUAUGUGGAUUGAAGUUUCAAGAUAUUACAGAAGGCAAUGUGCAAAUUAGGAUCAUGAUGGUUCACACAUCAAAGGGCUACUUGUGAACUUUCUUCACUCAUUUUUGGCCAUCUUUACUAGAAGUUCCAGAAUUUGUGUUUGACUACUGUCGAUCAUUAAGGGAAUCUUUAGUGACAUGUCUAUUCGUGAUGGCUCUAAUCUCUACCCUACUUUUUUGGAUAUUGAAAUCUUAAAAAGACUUCCAGUUUGAUUACGUCUUUCGUUGGAUAUCAACAAUCGCAACUUGUCAAUCCGCCACUCUUGGUGCUAAUGCUGGACUAAGUGCUGGAGCCCUUCCUUUGGUUUCUAACCUGAAUAGGCAAAUAUUUGUGUGUUGGAAAGACUUGGAUCGAGCAACAAAGCCUUGAAAGCUUAGCAAGUUGUGUUUUGACCUUUCACCAACCGGCCCUUUUCGCCACCUGGCACAUGUGCCAUUAGAGUUAGUGAACCUAACUCAUCCCGUGCACGGACUACAAAUGUAAGCCCCUGUGUACUCAACAAUGGUUCAAGGUUGGCCCAAAGGAGCUAACCUGUUGUGUCCUCAGACCAGGAACGACCCUUUUCUAGAUAUGCUUUCAAGCAGCAACCUCAAAAACUUUGAAUCAACACUAACGAGUAUUGAGGGCAUGCACUUUUAACACAAUCGAGGGAAAUUACAUCUUGCCCACUCCACGUGUAAAUAUGUUUCUUAAAAGCAUGCACCACUAAAAAAGCUACAGAAAGUGAAAACAACGCAGGGUUUCAUCACAGCUAUGGUCAUAAUGAGAGUCGACAUUCUUUUUUCUGAUUUUGUCCUGCCUAAACCUGCUGGUUUUGGUCAGACACCGUCUAAACCCAAAAUUGGAUGCGUAUGAUGCUGAAGAUUAGACUGUCUUUAUGUUUUGGAGGCUGGUUGGUGAAUCAUUAAGCAACGGGUUUGACGUUUUAAACGUAUCGUUUUAGUAAAACAGGAUAACGACUAUAGGUGAAGUGAGUGCCUAGCUUUUAGAUAUUCUGGUGAACCCGGCCGUGUGGGAAAUUAGUGGACGCAUGGUGUUGAAAACAGAGGAAUAUGUUCAUCUCAUUAAAGAAAAAGCAUGGCGACUGCUUGCAGAGGUUUCUUUAAUUCUAUGUUGAAACAAGGUUUCAAGAAGUGAUGAUUAUCUUCGAAACAGUUUCAUGUGCUGCCAUUGAGAAAAUGUUGUCGGAGGAUAAGCAAGAUGCUGUUGAAGUUGGUAGUUUUAAUAAUUUUCGCAGUGCAGCCAUCAUGCAGCGAGG
rnacentral:lncRNA from 1 species